rnacentral:tRNA from 1 species
GGGGAUUUAGCUCAGUGGAAGAGCGCUUGCCUAGGAAGCGCAAGGCCCUGGGUUCGAUCCCCUGCUCCG